UCGGAAUUACUGGGCGUAAAGCGUGCGCAGGCGGUUUUGUAAGACAGGCGUGAAAUCCCCGAGCUCAACUUGGGAAUGGCGCUUGUGACUGCAAGGCUAGAGUAUGUCAGAGGGGGGUAGAAUUCCACGUGUAGCAGUGAAAUGCGUAGAGAUGUGGAGGAAUACCGAUGGCGAAGGCAGCCCCCUGGGACGUCACUGACGCUCAUGCACGAAAGCGUGGGGAGCAAACAGGAUUAGAUA
rnacentral:rRNA from 1 species